rnacentral:lncRNA from 1 species
AUCACAUAUGACAACCAAUUUACACCCACUCCCUCACCCACAUGAGAUGCCCCAAAUAAGUAAAGCUCCAGAUAUUGGUCAACCCAUAAUAGAGGACAAUCCCAGUGCAAGUGGGAAUACUCAUGUCUCAUAAAAAAUAGAUCCGAUUCGAAUCCAAUUCGAAGUUGAUUCGAAAUAAUUUUGAAAGGCUGUCAAUCCCAAACUCUUUAGAAUUUUUGUACCAAGUCUAACAAAGAUUUUAGAUCCAAUUAAAACUAAUUAAUUUAAAUCUAAUCUAAAAUUAAUCAGUACUUAAAUCCAAUCUUCAUAUGCUCCAU